AUUGAACGCUGGCGGCAUGCUUUACACAUGCAAGUCGAACGGUAACAGGCCGCAAGGUGCUGACGAGUGGCGAACGGGUGAGUAAUGCAUCGGAACGUGCCCAGUCGUGGGGGAUAACGCAGCGAAAGCUGCGCUAAUACCGCAUACGAUCUAUGGAUGAAAGGCGGGGGACCGUAAGGCCUCGCGCGAUUGGAGCGGCCGAUGUCAGAUUAGGUAGUUGGUAGGGGUAAAGGCUCACCAAGCCAACGAUCUGUAGCUGGUCUGAGAGGACGACCAGCUACACUGGGACUGAGACACGGCCCAGACUCCUACGGGAGGCAGCAGUGGGGAAUUUUGGACAAUGGGCGCAAGCCUGAUCCAGCAAUGCCGCGUGCAGGAAGAAGGCCUUCGGGUUA
rnacentral:rRNA from 1 species